rnacentral:lncRNA from 1 species
UCUUGUCCCUGCAGGGUUCUUUCCAACCUGGACAAAGGGACCUUGAAGCUGCUGGCUGAGAAUGAGCGGCUGCUGUGCUUCUCACCAGCUCUGCAAGGCCGCCUUCGAGCUGCCUAUGAGGGCAGUGUUGCCAAGGUAGUAACCCCAGCUUAGUUGCCCACUAGCCUGGACCUAACCCUUCCUAGCUUUCAUAAAUUCAGGCAACCCUGCUGACGACACUUCAGUGUAAUGUGAGCUAACUCUGGGCAAGAAUAAGAGGGAGAAGUUUUCUCAGCAUGACCCUGCAGUUCCUAACGUUCCUGCUGUAUUUUAGGUCUCUCUGGUGAUGCCUCCCUCUACUCAAGCUGUCUCCUUUCAGCCAGAGACUGACAAUCGUGCCAACUUCUCCAGUGACCGAGCCUUUCAUACUUUUAAGAAACAGAGGGAUGUGUUUUAUGAGGUGCUGCGAGAGUGGGAAGAUCACCAUGAGGAGCCUGGCUGGGAUUUUGAGAAGGGCUUGGGCAGCAGAAUCAGGGCCAUGAUGGGUCAGCUCUCCGCAGCCUGCA